GAUGAACGCUGGCGGCGUGCCUAAUACAUGCAAGUCGAGCGAACAGACGAGGAGCUUGCUCCUCUGAUGUUAGCGGCGGACGUGAGAGUAACACGUGGAUAACCUACCUGUAAGACUGGGAUAACUUCGAGAAACCGGAGCUAAUACCGUAUAACAUGUUGAACCGCAUGGUUGAACAGUGAAAGACGGUGGUGCGGGCACUUAUAGCUGGAUACGAGCCGCUUUAGCUAGUUGGUAAGUUAAAGGCUUACCAAGGCGACGAUGCGUAGCCGAGCUGUGAGACGGAUCGCCCACACUGGAACUGAGACGCGCUCCAGACGCCUACGGGACGCAGCAGUAGGGAAUCUUCCGCAAAGGGCGAAAGCCUGACGGAACAACGCCGCGUGAGUGAAGAAGGUCUUCGGAUCGUAAAACUCUGUUAUUAGGGAAGAACAAAUGUGUAAGUAACUAUGCACGUCGUGACGGUACCUAAUCAGAAAGCCACGGCUAACUACGUG
rnacentral:rRNA from 1 species